rnacentral:lncRNA from 1 species
UUUUGCAUUCCCAGAAUUCCCUACGAUUUGAGCACGAAAAUGGCGGUUGUAUGAACUGCAACUUUCAAGUUAUUCAAUUACGAACAAUGAAACAUUUUUCUUUUAAGUGAAUUUCUAUUAUAAUAGAAGUUUGUCAAGUACAUCUCAGUGAAGCAGAAAAUCUUCAGGCGACCAUUGGCAUCGAAGUGAUACCCUAUGAUAUCAAGAAAAAUCCUAUGGAACAAAGAAGCAGAUAAUGAUGACAGAAGUGCAACAAAGAGCACCAGGACCUGAUCAUCAAAUGCUAUGGUGUAGAUCUAAUCAAGACAGGACACCUAAGUUGAACUCUGGCAAGGUUGUCCCUUGCAGAAGGUUUGAUACCCAGGCUUCUUUUGUACAAGUCCCUAGUCCACCCUCAUCUUGAGAACUGUUCCUGUGUCUGGGAUCUCUACAACAUCUCAGAUGUCCAGGACGCUACUUCACAAUGGGGACCACAAGUGAACCAGCAGUUUGACUGAGAUGAUCAGCACCUUUAGUUGCCUACUAUAUCUACAACUACAAGGCACUCUGCAAGAAGACUGGGAAUGGUGCACAAGAUAGUCGAUGGUCUCUCCGCUCUCCCUUGAAAAUUUUCCCACUGCACUACUUAUAGCUACUUGCGCCCUC